AACGUAGGUACCGAGCGUUAUCCGGAUUUACUGGGCGUAAAGCGCGUUCAGGCGGCUCAGCAAGUCGGGCAUGAAAUCUCUCGGCUCAACCGGGAGGGGCUGUCCGAAACUGCUGGGCUUGAGGGCAGUAGAGGGUGGUGGAAUUCCGGGUGUAGUGGUGAAAUGCGUAGAUAUCGGGAGGAACACCAGUGGCGAAGGCGGCUUUCUGGCCUGUUCUUGACGCUGAGGCGCGAAAGCUAGGGGAGCGAACGGG
rnacentral:rRNA from 1 species